AGAGUUUGAUCAUGGCUCAGAAUCAACGCUGGCGGCGCGCUUAACACAUGCAAGUCGAACGAGAAAGGGGAGCAAUCCCUGAGUACAGUGGCGUCCGGGUGAGUAACACGUGGGUGAUCUACCCUUUGGUGGGGAAUAACCCUGGGAAACCGGGGAUAAUACCGCAUAACUCCGAGAGGAGAAAGCCGAAAGGCGCCGAAGGAGGAGCCCGCGGCCGAUUAGCUAGUUGGUAGGGUAACGGCCUACCAAGGCCAAGAUCGGUAGCCGGCCUGAGAGGGCACACGGCCACACUGGCACUGAAACACGGGCCAGACUCCUACGGGAGGCAGCAGUGGGGAAUCUUGCACAAUGGGGGAAACCCUGAUGCAGCGACGCCGCGUGAGCGAUGAAGCCCUUCGGGGUGUAAAGCUCUUUCGGCAGGAACGAUAAUGACGGUACCUGCAGAAGAAGCUGCGGCUAACUACGUGCCAGCAGCCGCGGUAAUACGUAGGCAGCAAGCGUUGUUCGGAGUUACUGGGCGUAAAGAGUAUGUAGGCGGUUGCGUAAGUUCGGUGUGAAAUCUCCCGGCUUAACUGGGAGGGUGCGCCGAAAACUGCGUGGCUUGAGUGCGGGAGAGGAGAGCGGAAUUCCUGGUGUAGCGGUGAAAUGCGUAGAUAUCAGGAGGAACACCGGCGGUGUAGACGGCUCUCUGGACCGUUACUGACGCUGA
rnacentral:rRNA from 1 species